UACGUAGGUGGCAAGCGUUGUCCGGAUUUACUGGGCGUAAAGAGCGCGCAGGCGGUUGGAUAAGUCGAAUGUGAAAGCCCCCGGCUUAACUGGGGAGGGUCAUUCGAUACUGUUUGACUUGAAGGCAGGAGAGGGCAGCAGAAUUCCCGGUGUAGUGGUGAAAUGCGUAGAUAUCGGGAGGAAUACCAGUGGCGAAGGCGACUUCCUGGCCUGUUCUUGACGCUGAGGCGCGAAAGCUAGGGGAGCAAACGGG
rnacentral:rRNA from 1 species